CACCGCUGGAGGCAGGGAGGGGAUCGAGGCUAAGGAGCGGACCCCCACGGAUGUCCCCACUCCACCCCGUCUGUACCAAGACACCGGGAGUCUGGCAGUAAGCCAUCAGAGGCAGAGGAUCUCUCUUUCGGCUGCUGCUGACAACAGCUCUAUACCCAGAAGGCAACAACCCUUACUGUACUGUUCCAUAAAGCCACAGAGUUGGUGCCAAGAUUGACGCUGGUCAUCAUUCAAGCAAACAGUUUCCACCCUGGCCACCAGUGCAUAUUUCCAAACUAUGUUUGCAUAUAAUGACGAUAAAAUGUCAAAACAUUGCUGGUAUUAUUUGGUCUGUUAAUGUUUAUUAUAUUAUAUUCUUGGCUAAAAAAUAUGACUAUUUAUUAGUAGUAGUCAUAAUUCAUAAAUGGCACCAUACAGGGUUCUAUAGCUGAUAUCUCAAAGUGCUGAAAAUAAGAAUGUGUUCUUAACUGACUUGCCUGGUUAAAUAAAGGUAAAAUAAAUAAAAAAAUA